AUAGUUUCUUGGCCUUUCGGCUAAGAUCAAGUGUAGUAUCUGUUCUCAUCAGUUUAAUAUCUGAUAUGUCUUCUAUUUGAAGACAAUAUUUUAAGUGGAUUUUUGGAGCAGGGAAGUGGAAUAGGAGCUUGCUCCAUCCACUCCAUGCAUCAACUCGGUGUUGCAGAUAUUUCCGUUUUGUAGGAGUUGUC